GCGGGAAUAGCUCAGUUGGUAGAGCACAACCUUGCCAAGGUUGGGGUCGCGAGUUCGAGUCUUGUUUCCCGCUCCA
rnacentral:tRNA from 4 species